rnacentral:rRNA from 1 species
AACGAACGCUGGCGGCAGGCUUAACACAUGCAAGUCGAGCGCCCCGCAAGGGGAGCGGCAGACGGGUGAGUAACGCGUGGGAAUCUACCCAUCUCUACGGAAUAACGCAUGGAAACGUGUGCUAAUACCGUAUACGUCCUUCGGGAGAAAGAUUUAUCGGAGAUGGAUGAGCCCGCGUUGGAGUAGCUAGUUGGUGGGGUAAAGGCCUACCAAGGCGACGAUCCAUAGCUGGUCUGAGAGGAUGAGCAGCCACACUGGGACUGAGACACGGCCCAGACUCCUACGGGAGGCAGCAGUGGGGAAUAUUGGACAAUGGGCGCAAGCCUGAUCCAGCCAUGCCGCGUGAGUGAUGAAGGCCCUAGGGUUGUAAAGCUCUUUCACCGGUGAAGAUAAUGACGGUAACCGGAGAAGAAGCCCCGGCUAACUUCGUGCCAGCAGCCGCAGUAACAC